rnacentral:rRNA from 1 species
GACGAACGCUAGCGGCGUGCUUAACACAUGCAAGUCGAACGGAAAGGCCCUGCUUUUGUGGGGUGCUCGAGUGGCGAACGGGUGAGUAACACGUGAGUAACCUGCCCUUGACUUUGGGAUAACUUCAGGAAACUGGGGCUAAUACCGGAUAGGAGCUCCUGCUGCAUGGUGGGGGUUGGAAAGUUUCGGCGGUUGGGGAUGGACUCGCGGCUUAUCAGCUUGUUGGUGGGGUAGUGGCUUACCAAGGCUUUGACGGGUAGCCGGCCUGAGAGGGUGACCGGCCACAUUGGGACUGAGAUACGGCCCAGACUCCUACGGGAGGCAGCAGUGGGGAAUAUUGCACAAUGGGCGGAAGCCUGAUGCAGCAACGCCGCGUGCGGGAUGACGGCCUUCGGGUUGUAAACCGCUUUCGCCUGUGACGAAGCGUGAGUGACGGUAAUGGGUAAAGAAGCACCGGCUAACUACGUGCCAGCAGCCGCGGUGAUACGUAGGGUGCGAGCGUUGUCCGGAUUUAUUGGGCGUAAAGGGCUCGUAGGUGGUUGAUCGCGUCGGAAGUGUAAUCUUGGGGCUUAACCCUGAGCGUGCUUUCGAUACGGGUUGACUUGAGGAAGGUAGGGGAGAAUGGAAUUCCUGGUGGAGCGGUGGAAUGCGCAGAUAUCAGGAGGAACACCAGUGGCGAAGGCGGUUCUCUGGGCCUUUCCUGACGCUGAGGAGCGAAAGCGUGGGGAGCGAACAGGCUUAGAUACCCUGGUAGUCCACGCUGUAAACGGUGGGUACUAGGUGUGGGGUCCAUUCCACGGGUUCCGUGCCGUAGCUAACGCUUUAAGUACCCCGCCUGGGGAGUACGGCCGCAAGGCUAAAACUCAAAGGAAUUGACGGGGCCCCGCACAAGCGGCGGAGCAUGCGGAUUAAUUCGAUGCAACGCGUAGAACCUUACCUGGGUUUGACAUGGAUCGGGAGCGCUCAGAGAUGGGUGUGCCUCUUUUGGGGUCGGUUCACAGGUGGUGCAUGGCUGUCGUCAGCUCGUGUCGUGAGAUGUUGGGUUAAGUCCCGCAACGAGCGCAAUCCUUGUUCACUGUUGCCAGCACGUUAUGGUGGGGACUCAGUGGAGACCGCCGGGGUCAACUCGGAGGAAGGUGGGGAUGACGUCAAGUCAUCAUGCCCCUUAUGUCCAGGGCUUCACGCAUGCUACAAUGGCUGGUACAGAGAGUGGCGAGCCUGUGAGGGUGAGCGAAUCUCGGAAAGCCGGUCUCAGUUCGGAUUGGGGUCUGCAACUCGACCUCAUGAAGUCGGAGUCGCUAGUAAUCGCAGAUCAGCAACGCUGCGGUGAAUACGUUCCCGGGGCU